AUUUGCCCGGGAAUGUGCUAUAAAAAUAAAAUAAAAACAUUUUUAAGAAUGUUUUUUAUGUGAAACGUGUUUUUCCACAUCAGAUUUUAGUCAAAUAAUCCAAGAAAUUCAUUUUAAGGAAACCGAUAGAAACGGAACAUAAAACCAUAACCAAGGCAAGCAACGGUAUCUGCGGAGGCUGCACAAGUUCUGAGCUCAAUGGCCCCGAUAGACAUAGUAAUUGAAGAAAGAAUGGAAAUGCAAGAACAUUCAGGAAGAACAGCGGAAGAAAGUAGAAAUAGAGUUCUGGAAAUAUGGUGUAAAAGAUGGAGUCAAAACAGAAAUGGGAAAGGUAUUACCUACAUAAAAUAAAGUUAGCUGACUCCGAUGCUAAUACGGUGGAGCAUACUCUUUUGGAAUGUAACCGAUGGACAGCUGAACGAAGAGUUCUAUACGAAAAACUAAGAGUCCUAAAAAUUAAGAUUUCCGAUCUAGUUCCAGAGAUGAUUCGAUCCCCAGAAAAUUGGAAUAGUGUUCACACUUUUAUGGAGACACUAAUAGAUGCAAAAGAGAAAGAAGCUAGACGAAGUAAC